rnacentral:rRNA from 1 species
UACGUAGGGUGCGAGCGUUGUCCGGAAUUAUUGGGCGUAAAGAGCUCGUAGGCGGUGUGUCACGUCGGCCGUGAAAACCUGCAGCUUAACUGUGGGCGUGCGGUCGAUACGGGCAGACUGGAGUUCGGCAGGGGAGACUGGAAUUCCUGGUGUAGCGGUGGAAUGCGCAGAUAUCAGGAGGAACACCGAUGGCGAAGGCAGAUCUCUGGGCCGUAACUGACGCUGAGGAGCGAAAGCAUGGGGAGCGAACAGG